rnacentral:rRNA from 1 species
GUAUAUGCCUAUAGCAUAGCGUUAAUGCACUAGAUCCCAUUAGAACUUCGCAUCUAAGUGCACUUAGGAUAGAUUAGUACUAGUAUGGGUGAUGACCCUGGAAGUCCUAGUGUUUUACAUG